GACGAACGCUGGCGGCGUGCUUAACACAUGCAAGUCGAACGAAAAGGCCCUGCUUUUGUGGGUUGCUCGAUUGGCGAACGGGUGAGUAACACGUGAGUAACCUGUCCUUGACUGUGGGAUAACUUCAGGAAACUGGGGCUAAUACCGGAUAGGAUCUCCUGCUGCAUGGGGUUGGUUGGUAAGUUUUGGCGGUUGGGGAUGGACUCGCGGCUUAUCAGCUUGUUGGUGGGGUAGUGGCUUACCAAGGCUUUGACGGGUAGCCGGCCUGAGAGGGUGACCGGCCACAUUGGGCCUGAGGUACGGCCCAGAAUCGUACGGGACGCAGCAGGCGGGAAUAUUGCACAAUGGGCGGACGCGUGAUGCAGCAACGCCGCGUGCGGGAUGCCGGCCUUCGGGUUGUAAACCGACUUCGCAUGUGACGAAGCGUGAGUGACGGUAAUGGGUAAAGAAGCACCGGCUAACUACGUG
rnacentral:rRNA from 1 species